rnacentral:rRNA from 1 species
UCGAGCGAACUGAUUAGAAGCUUGCUUCUAUGACGUUAGCGGCGGACGGGUGAGUAACACGUGGGCAACCUGCCUGUAAGACUGGGAUAACUUCGGGAAACCGAAGCUAAUACCGGAUAGGAUCUUCUCCUUCAUGGGAGAUGAUUGAAAGAUGGUUUCGGCUAUCACUUACAGAUGGGCCCGCGGUGCAUUAGCUAGUUGGUGAGGUAACGGCUCACCAAGGCAACGAUGCAUAGCCGACCUGAGAGGGUGAUCGGCCACACUGGGACUGAGACACGGCCCAAACUCCUACGGGAGGCAGCAGUAGGGAAUCUUCC